rnacentral:rRNA from 1 species
UGCGUAGGUGGUAUGGCAAGUCAGAAGUGAAAACCCAGGGCUUAACUCUGGGACUGCUUUUGAAACUGUCAGACUGGAGUGCAGGAGAGGUAAGCGGAAUUCCCGGUGUAGCGGUGGAAUGCGUAGAUAUCGGGAGGAACACCAGUGGCGAAGGCGGCCUACUGGGCACCAACUGACGCUGAGGCUCGAAAGUGUGGGUAGCAAACA